GCGGCGGACGGGUGAGUAACACGUGGGUAACCUGCCCGUAAGACCGGGAUAACUCCGGGAAACCGGGGCUAAUACCGGAUAACACCGAAGACCGCAUGGUCUUCGGUUGAAAGGCGGCUUCGGCUGCCACUUACGGAUGGGCCCGCGGCGCAUUAGCUAGUUGGUGAGGUAACGGCUCACCAAGGCGACGAUGCGUAGCCGGCCUGAGAGGGUGACCGGCCACACUGGGACUGAGACACGGCCCAGACUCCUACGGGAGGCAGCAGUAGGGAAUCUUCCGCAAUGGACGAAAGUCUGACGGAGCGACGCCGCGUGAGCGAAGAAGGUCUUCGGAUCGUAAAGCUCUGUUGUUAGGGAAGAAGAAGUGCCGUUCGAACAGGGCGGCACGGUGACGGUACCUAACGAGAAAGCCCCGGCUAACUACGUGCCAGCAGCCGCGGUAAUAC
rnacentral:rRNA from 43 species